UACAGAGGGGGCAAGCGUUGUUCGGAAUUACUGGGCGUAAAGGGCGCGUAGGCGGCCCGCUAAGUCGAACGUGAAAUCCCCGGGCUCAACCCGGGAACUGCGUCCGAUACUGGAGGGCUCGAAUCCGGGAGAGGGAUGCGGAAUUCCAGGUGUAGCGGUGAAAUGCGUAGAUAUCUGGAGGAACACCGGUGGCGAAGGCGACCCCCUGGGCCUGCACUGACGCUCAUGCACGAAAGCGUGGGGAGCAAACAGG
rnacentral:rRNA from 1 species